GGCCGCCGCUCCGCGGCACCGUCCAGCGCGCCCACUGCCGGACUGCCCCAGCCCCAGGCGCCCCGCCGCCCCCACCACUCCACCAGGCCACCACCACCAGCCAGCAGGCACCAGGCACCACCACUCUAGGCAGGCACGGCCGCAUCGGUUGCUUCGGAGUUCGGUUGACGGACACCGCCUCACCGGAUUCAACUCCCACGACACCGGUUCCGAAAGACGGCUACAUCGGUUUCUUCGUGCAGUGUAAGUGCUCCAUAUCAAUGUCACUUAGCCAGAUCUGUAUUCUUGACUAUUGUUUGCUGCCCACACUAGACACGUUGCUUUUUUUUGUUUGCUGCCCACACUAGGCACAUUAUUAUUUGGUGCUAAAAUUAUUAUUUGAGGUUGUUGGAAUGUUAAAUUAUUAUAAAUUUCUGUUACUAUUGGAUUGUGUGAGAGGGUCGAUCGAGCUAGUAGAAGGGCAGGUUAAUGGUACAUAAGUGCUGCCCUCAUUGCUUUGCUAGCUCUUGCAGAACGCAUCAUAUACUACGGUCGUGUUAGCCUGAGUUAGUGAAGGUUGUGCAGGCACACCUAGGUAUGGAUAAAUCCUACAUAAAGUGUAUGGAUAAAUCAUGGAUCACAAGUGAGGCUAGGUACAAAGCAACUUUUCAUAGCAACUCUUAUGUUUUUCUAUAGUUAUAUUGAUAUGUAACAUAGGAACUGUAUGUAGGGAGACAAAGGUUUAUAAACAAGGGGUGAAUGGUUUUCUAGCUUUUGCAUUUAGACAUUCAGCAAUAGGAAACAAGAUACUAUGCCCUUGCAAGAAGUGUGUUAACUCGUUUUGGAGAGAGGCCGGUGAAGUGCGAGAACACUUGAUAUGUGAUGGUUUUCUAAAAGGGUACACAACAUGGACCUUACAUGGAGAAGCUUCGUCCUCUUUUGUGAAUCAUGGUAACAAUGAUGAUGAGUUUAGCGAGCAUCCUACAGAAGAUGAUGCAAUAUCUGAGUUGUUAAAGGAUUUAGCUUGUGGUUUAGAUGAUGGAGGGGAUAUGGAGGAUGAUGGGUCUUUUGAGGAACCUAAUGAAGACACAAUAGCCAUUCGUAAGCUAGCAGAAGACAAUAGUCAAGAAUUAUAUCCGGGUUGUCAAAACUACUCAAAGCUACGUUUCCUAGUUCGUUUGCUUCACAUCAAACUUCUUGGAGGAUGGACAGAUAGAAGUUUUGAUUUGUUGGUAGAUUUACUUGUUGAUGCACUUCCUAAGGGUUCAGCACUUCCUAGAUACUUUCAUGAAGCAAAGAAAGUGGUCAAAUCUGUAGGAGUCGGGUACACUACAAUUCAUGCAUGUGAAAAUGAUUGCAUUCUAUUUUGGAAGGAGCAUAAAAAACUUGAUUCAUGCUCGGUAUGUAGUGUCUCACGUUGGAAAUCAGAAAAGAAGAGUCUAGAUGGGAAACGUGAGUACAAAGUUCCUAGGAAGGUGCUUCGUUAUUUCCCUAUUAAAAAAGACUCCAAAGAUUGUUUGUUUCUUCUAAAUUUGCAAGUCUCACAAGGUGGCAUGAUGAACACAGAGUAAAAGAUGGUUUGCUUAGGCAUCCUGCCGAUUCACCCUUGUGGAAAGAUAUUGAUCAAAAGUAUCCAGAAUUUGCUAUGGAUAGUCGUAAUAUCCGCCUAGCAUUUGCUACAGAUGGUUUCAAUCCAUAUAGGACAAUGAAUGUUAGUUACAGUAUUUGGCCUGGCAUAUUGAUUCCACUCAAUUUUCCACCAUCAAUGUGCAUGAAGGAUUCAAAUUUUAUCUUGUCUGUCUUAAUUCCUAGUCGAUCUUCUGCGGGUAGUGAUAUGGAUGUUUAUUUUCAGCCCCUUGUCUAUGAUCUACUUGAUAUGUUUGUUAAGGGUGUGAAGACCUAUGAUGCCUCAAAGGGUGAAUACUUUCAGUUGCGUGCUGCAAUAAUUUGGACCAUCACUGAUUUCCCUGGUCUGGGCAGUGUAUCCGGAUUUGUCACCUCUGGUCAAGCAGCGUGUCCUGAUUGCCACUCAUUGAUUUGUUCUCUCAGGCUUGGAAAUGGUAGCAAGUCUCGCUACAUGGGACAUUGUAGGUUCUUACAUCCAAACCACACAUUUAGGUCUGAUGUUGAAUCAUUUGGUGAAAGUGAGUUGAGGCCAGCACCUACUCCUCUUUCAGGAGAGGAAAUUUUGGAUUGUACAAAAAAUUUGAAAACAAUUUAUGGCAAGAAGCCAUCAGGUAAGCCAAUAAGGAAUCAGAAACGCAAGGAUGGGAAACCAUUAGUCUUUUUGAAAAGGAGACCUAUUUGGUUCACUCUUCCAUAUUGGAAGGACUUGAAAAUUCGAUAUAAUUUUGAUGUCAUGCACAUAGAGAAGAAUGUGUGUGAAAAUAUAAUUAAUACUUUGUUGGACAUUGCUGGAAAAUCUAAGGAUAAUCUGAAUGCUCGCUUGGAUCUUCAAGCUUUAGGUAUUAGAAGCGACCUUCAUCCUAUUGAACUAGAAGCUAAUCAAUUUUAUUUGCCUCCUGCACCCUACUCAAUGAGCUCUGUUGAGAAGAAAUUGUUUUGUCAAGUAUUAAAAGGGGUCAAGUUUCCUGAUGGAUAUACCGCUGAUAUACGACAUAAUGUUCUUGUCAAUGAAAAAAAGAUAGUUAAUCUUAAUACUCAUGGCAACCACAUUCUUCUACAAGAUUUACUGCCACUUGCUGUCCGGAGAGUUCUCCCUCAAGAAGUUAGUGCUGUGCUGAUUCGUUUAAGCACGUUCUUUAGAAAAUUGUACUCUCUUGUUAUUCGAAUAAGUGACAUGCAAAGGUUAGAAUCUGAGAUAGCUGAAAUCUUGAGCCUUUUAGAGAUUAUUUUCCCUCCAUCAUUUUUGACCAUUAAUGUACAUUUGAUGGUACAUCUUCCUACCCAAGCAAGAGUGGCAGGCCCAAUCCAUUUUCGAAGCAUGUGGCCGGUGGAGAGGUAUUUUUCUUUGGUAUAUUACAUAGCAAACAAAUAACGAUAUAAUUUUUCAAUAAUAUGAUGAGUGUCGUUGUUUACAUGUAUAGGUUUCUAAAAAAUGCAAGGGCUAUGUGCGUACAAAAAGUCACCCGGAAGGAUCAAUUAUGGAGGGUUCUUUGUUUGAUGAGGCUCUCAUGCUUUGUUCUCGGUAUUUACA
rnacentral:lncRNA from 1 species